rnacentral:rRNA from 1 species
AUUGAACGCUGGCGGCAGGCCUAACACAUGCAAGUCGAGCGGUAGCACAGAGAGCUUGCUCUCGGGUGACGAGCGGCGGACGGGUGAGUAAUGUCUGGGAAACUGCCUGAUGGAGGGGGAUAACUACUGGAAACGGUAGCUAAUACCGCAUAAUGUCGCAAGACCAAAGUGGGGGACCUUCGGGCCUCAUGCCAUCAGAUGUGCCCAGAUGGGAUUAGCUAGUAGGUGGGGUAACGGCUCACCUAGGCGACGAUCCCUAGCUGGUCUGAGAGGACGACCAGCCACACUGGAACUGAGACACGGUCCAGACUCCUACGGGAGGCAGCAGUGGGGAAUAUUGCACAAUGGGCGCAAGCCUGAUGCAGCCAUGCCGCGUGUGUGAAGAAGGCCUUCGGGUUGUAAAGCACUUUCAGCGGGGAGGAAGGCGAUAAGGUUAAUAACCUUGUCGAUUGACGUUACCCGCAGAAGAAGCACCGGCUAACUCCGUGCCAGCAGCCGCGGUAAUACGGAGGGUGCAAGCGUUAAUCGGAAUUACUGGGCGUAAAGCGCACGCAGGCGGUCUGUCAAGUCGGAUGUGAAAUCCCCGGGCUCAACCUGGGAACUGCAUUCGAAACUGGCAGGCUAGAGUCUUGUAGAGGGGGGUAGAAUUCCAGGUGUAGCGGUGAAAUGCGUAGAGAUCUGGAGGAAUACCGGUGGCGAAGGCGGCCCCCUGGACAAAGACUGACGCUCAGGUGCGAAAGCGUGGGGAGCAAACAGGAUUAGAUACCCUGGUAGUCCACGCCGUAAACGAUGUCGAUUUGGAGGUUGUGCCCUUGAGGCGUGGCUUCCGGAGCUAACGCGUUAAAUCGACCGCCUGGGGAGUACGGCCGCAAGGUUAAAACUCAAAUGAAUUGACGGGGGCCCGCACAAGCGGUGGAGCAUGUGGUUUAAUUCGAUGCAACGCGAAGAACCUUACCUGGUCUUGACAUCCACAGAACUUUCCAGAGAUGGAUUGGUGCCUUCGGGAACUGUGAGACAGGUGCUGCAUGGCUGUCGUCAGCUCGUGUUGUGAAAUGUUGGGUUAAGUCCCGCAACGAGCGCAACCCUUAUCCUUUGUUGCCAGCGGUUCGGCCGGGAACUCAAAGGAGACUGCCAGUGAUAAACUGGAGGAAGGUGGGGAUGACGUCAAGUCAUCAUGGCCCUUACGACCAGGGCUACACACGUGCUACAAUGGCAUAUACAAAGAGAAGCGACCUCGCGAGAGCAAGCGGACCUCAUAAAGUAUGUCGUAGUCCGGAUUGGAGUCUGCAACUCGACUCCAUGAAGUCGGAAUCGCUAGUAAUCGUAGAUCAGAAUGCUACGGUGAAUACGUUCCCGGGCCUUGUACACACCGCCCGUCACACCAUGGGAGUGGGUUGCAAAAGAAGUAGGUAGCUUAACCUUCGGGAGGGCGCUUACCACUUUGUGAUUCAUGACUGGGGUGA